UCUUCACUAGAUAUAUAAAACUGACAUGUUUAUGGUUUAGAAGGCUGGACUAACCCAUUAUACCUGGAAAUGUUUUUUGAUAAGAGCCUUGAAAACGACAACAUGUUUGGGCAUGUUCACUGAAAGGUUGUUUUUUUUCCAGACUGAUGGAAUGCUGAGCGUUUUGCACAACUCUGUGGUCAGAGAAAACACAUUUUCUUGGCUAAAUACUCAUUUUCUUCAGAUCUUCUAACAUCUCAGACACCCUAUGUCACCUGUUGAACCCACGUUAGUGUCCCAUUCUCUACAUGUGCGGGGUUGUGACCUCUGGACAUGACCCUCAAACAUCUCAGACACCCGAUGUCACAUGCACAAGUCACGUGAUGACCUUAUUCUUUGGAGCUGCCUUGCCAAAAGCCGUGGGGCGGGGCCGCAAAGGACCAUAUUCACAGGACCCCCAACAUGAUGUCAUACGACAAAAAUGCCAGGAAACAUGAUCUCACUUUGUUUUCACCAGAUGUGACGUCAUUUUGUUUUUACCGGAGGUGAUGUCAUUGGGAACAGAUGGCCCGAGAGGUGACGUCAUUUUAUUUUUACCGGAUGUGACGUCAUUGGGGACAGGUGGCCCGGAAGGUGACGUCAUUGUGCACGUGCGCUGGCAUGCUGCCAGCUUGUGACAUCAUAGGCAAUAAAUCAUUUUAACUAGA